AUGCGACUGUCACCUGGGAUGGCAACAUCAAUGAUCCAAACCUUUUUUCUUUUCCACAACUGUGAUGUCUGGUGUGUUGUGUUCCAGACUGACAAAGUUCUGGAACACAACACACCAGACAUCACAGUUGUGGAAAAGAAAAAGGUUUGGAUCAUUGAUGUUGCCAUCCCAGGUGACAGUCGCAUUGACGAAAAACAACAGGAAAAACUCAGCCGCUAUCAGGACCUCAAGAUUGACCUUCAAAGGCUCUGGCAGAAACCAGUGCAGGUGGUCCCGGUGGUGAUGGGCGCAUUGGGUGCCGUGCCAAAAGAACUCAGCCGGCAUUUGGAAACAACAGACAUUGACAAAAUUACGGUCUGCCAACUGCAAAAGGCCACCCUGCUGGGAUCUGCACGCAUCAUCCGAAAAUACAUCACACAGUCCUAGACACUUGGGAAGUGUUCGACCUGUGAUUUUGUGAUACAAAAUCCAGCAUAUCUAUCUUGUUUGCUGUGUCAUACAAUGUCAUUGUGUCAAUAAUAAUAAUAAUAAUAAUAAUAAUAAUAAUAACAACAACAACUUUAUUUUUGUACCCCACCUCCAUCUCCCCAAAGGGACUCGGGGCAGCUAACAUGGGGCCAAAACCAGGCAAUUACUAUAAAACAAAAUAAAAAACAUACAAGACACGCAACAUCAUCAAGUAAAAAUGCUACACAGUAACAUAGCAAAACAAUAAAAUAGUAACAAUAACAUAAUAAAACAUGGCAUAAAAACAUUACUAAAACUAAAUGAGGGCAAACUGGACCAAAGUGCAAGGAGUGAAAAUUAUAAAACCGGUGGUUGAGGUAGAUAAAUAAAGUGCUGCAUUUAGUGAAAGGCUCGGGGUGGGAUUAACAAUGAGAUUAUUGUGUUGUCGAAGGCUUUCAUGGCCAGGAUCACAGGGUUGUUGAAUGUUUUCCGGGCUGUAAGGCCAUGUUCCAGAAGUAUUCUCUCCUGACUUUUCGCCCACAUCUAUGGCAGGCGAAACGUCAGGAGAGAAUACUUCUGGAACAUGGCUAUACAGCCCAGAAAACAUACAACAACCCAAUGAGAUUAUUCUCAUCUGAGGGACAAAAUAAAGUGCAUCAGAAAAACAAUUGACACUGAGACAGGGCCUGACGGGCAUUCAGAAAGACUUUAUGAGACCCAGGUGUCAAAGGCAUGAUCUCAUGGCUUCUUGGUCGGGCCUGGAUUUAAAUUAAGUGAUGUUUACUUGGUGUUGCACAAAAGGAGUGAAGGAUAGAUUAUAUGUAACUAUGUGGAACUCCAUGGUUUCGUAUUGAUGUGGCAUUGGGGGCUGUGCGGUGGUGGUGGGAGUGUGGAGGAAUGGGUGUGUUGUUUUUGUGUUGUGUGCUGGGGAAAGCAUUUAAUUUGGUUGUGCACAAUGACAAUAAGGCUGUUUUAUUCUAACAUAGCUAAAAGCACAUAAUCACUGUAAACAUUUUGGAAAAUACACGUAUUGAAACAUUGGAAAGGAGCUCUCCCAAGGUACUAAAUCUAGGGAUGAAGCAAAC
rnacentral:lncRNA from 1 species